rnacentral:rRNA from 1 species
UACGGGGGGUGCGAGCGUUGUCCGGAAUCACUGGGCGUAAAGAGUGUGUAGGCGGUGCUCUAAGUUCGGUGUGAAAUCUCCCGGCUCAACUGGGAGGGUGCGCCGAAAACUGGAGUGCUGGAGCGCGGGAGAGGAAAGCGGAAUUCCUGGUGUAGCGGUGAAAUGCGUAGAUAUCAGGAGGAACACCGGCGGUGUAGACGGCUUUCUGGACCGUAGCUGACGCUGAGACACGAAAGCGUGGGUAGCAAACAGG